CACACGUGCUACAAUGGUCCGGUACAAAGGGUUGCCAAGCCGCGAGGUGGAGCUAAUCCCAUAAAACCGAUCGUAGUCCGGAUCGCAGUCUGCAACUCGACUGCGUGAAGUCGGAAUCGCUAGUAAUCGUGAAUCAGAAUGUCACGGUGAAUACGUUCCCGGGCCUUGUACACACCGCCCGUCACACCAUGGGAGUGGGUUGCUCCAGAAGUAGCUAGUCUAACCGCAAGGGGGACGGUUACCACGGAGUGAUUCAUGACUGGGGUGAAGUCGUAACAAGGUAGCCGUAGGGGAACCUGCGGUUG
rnacentral:rRNA from 1 species